CCUACGGUGUCAGCAGUGGGGAAUAUUGGACAAUGGGCGAAAGCCUGAUCCAGCCAUGCCGCGUGUGUGAAGAAGGCCUUCGGGUUGUAAAGCACUUUCAGUGGGGAAGAAAGCCUUGGGGCUAAUACCCUCGAGGAAGGACAUCACCCACAGAAGAAGCACCGGCUAACUCCGUGCCAGCAGCCGCGGUAAUACGGAGGGUGCGAGCGUUAAUCGGAAUUACUGGGCGUAAAGCGCGCGUAGGCGGUCUGAUAAGCCGGUUGUGAAAGCCCCGGGCUCAACCUGGGAACGGCAUCCGGAACUGUCAGGCUAGAGUGCAGGAGAGGAAGGUAGAAUUCCCGGUGUAGCGGUGAAAUGCGUAGAGAUCGGGAGGAAUACCAGUGGCGAAGGCGGCCUUCUGGACUGACACUGACGCUGAGGUGCGAAAGCGUGGGUAGCAAACAGGAUUAGAUACCCUGGUAGUC
rnacentral:rRNA from 1 species